rnacentral:rRNA from 1 species
GAUGAACGCUGGCGGCGUGCCUAAUACAUGCAAGUCGAGCGAACGGACGAGAAGCUUGCUUCUCUGAUGUUAGCGGCGGACGGGUGAGUAACACGUGGAUAACCUACCUAUAAGACUGGGAUAACUUCGGGAAACCGGAGCUAAUACCGGAUAAUAUUUUGAACCGCAUGGUUCAAAAGUGAAAGACGGUCUUGCUGUCCCUUAUAGAUGGAUCCGCGCUGCAUUAGCUAGUUGGUAAGGUAACGGCUUACCAAGGCAACGAUGCAUAGCCGACCUGAGAGGGUGAUCGGCCACACUGGAACUGAGACACGGUCCAGACUCCUACGGGAGGCAGCAGUAGGGAAUCUUCCGCAAUGGGCGAAAGCCUGACGGAGCAACGCAGCGUGAGUGAUGAAGGUCUUCGGAUCGUAAAACUCUGUUAUUAGGGAAGAACAUAUGUGUAAGUAACUGUGCACAUCUUGACGGUACCUAAUCAGAAAGCCACGGCUAACUACGUG